rnacentral:snRNA from 1 species
GUGCUUGCUUUGGCAGCACAUAUACCAAAAUAGGAACAAUGCAGAGAUUAUUAGCAAGGCACCUGUGCAAGGAUGCCAUGUAAAUUCGUGAAGAAAAAAACACCAAA